UCAUGAAGGAGAAAAAUUCCUUGUGUUUUUACACACUUGGCCAACAAAGCUGAUUGUGAUUCGUCACCAAUGCAAUGAAUACAAAAGAUGGAUUUUAAAAAGUCCGCUUUUAUGAGGAUAAUUGAAAUCACAUUUAGCGGAAAGUAUACACGUAGAGUCCGGAGCUGGUCACCUACGUCAUCAAACCACGUCAAUGGCCGGAAGUGUUGGUCAAGGAUCAAUCAAUCAUCAACGCGGAGCCGCUCGGAGACAGCACGAAAAUCCCGUCUUCGAGCACGACGCGCAGAGUCGCGUCCGCUUUAGAAGUUGUUAAUAAACGAAGAUAAGAAAGCGGACUGUUAAUUGGCUUCCGCUUGUCUUGCACAACUGGAUCUACGCACGGAUCUGGUGAGUAAAUGGUCCAGUUUGAAAGCAUAGAAAAGUCUGGACGCAUACAAAUAUCCUUGCCGGAUCUGGUCUCAACGCUCCUGAACGCGGAAGCGUGUUCGGCUACACGUUAACGGAAUUCCUUGAUCUUUUCAGCUCGUAUUCGAUACAAAUACCAAUAUUGAAAUAAAUGACCCCUGGUUUUACACAAACUCACAUUCAUUAACUAUGAUCAGGGGAAAAAAAGAGGUCAAGCGAGUUUCUCAAGAAGUAUUUACAAUGCCAAUUUGGCUCAUUUGAGAACAAUGCGUUAAAAAAUAAAAAUAAGACAGAGUCUGCUCCUCCGUACACGAAGCGUGUUGCGGCCACACGUUAACCUACGUAAACCUACGUGCCAACGGUUUUACGAAUUUUCUUUCAAAUACACAUUGGACUCAUUUGAGAACAAUGCAUAUUUUUUUAAAAAAAAAAGUCUCACAGAGAGGUUUACCGACAUUUUAACGUGUAGCCCCAACACGCCUCCAUGUACGUUUAAAAAAAAAUAAUUAAGCAUUGUUCUCAAAUGAGCCAAUUUGGCAUUGUAAAUACUUUUUGGUAAUUUGAGAUUGAGAAUAAUAAUUCCUACCUGAAGUGAUCGCUACAGAGUCGUGUGUGUAUUUUGGUUGGGCGACGUCCAUCACGUUUAAUUGCCGAAAUCCAUAAAUCUUUUCUGGUCUUUUCAGAUGGUAUUCUAUCAAACGACCUCUUUGUAAUAUCUGUCUCGUCUGUUGUGACAACCAACAAGUCUCGGGCAUGGUGUAUAUUCCGCUCCGGUUCAAUGAUCACCCCCCCCUCCCCCCAACAUGCCGAGCCCUUUUUUUGACCUGCAAUAUGGCGCCGGGAAAAUGUCGACGUGACGUGCACGAGCUCAAUAGCGAAAGCUUCAAAAUGACACAUUCGUGCGCAUUUCAAUGGAACCCAAAACGAUUGUUCACAACAAACCGGCCUAACCCUAAAAAAAAAAGUUCAACCCCGAAACACAACAGGCUGCUCCUCCCGAACGUCAUACAUUCAUUUACAAAUUUUUAAGUGAUUCCAAAUGGCCACAAAUGAUGAAAAUGGAUUUUAUGAUCAAAGUUGAACACGAAUAACCCCGCUUUCAAUCAUAAUCAAUACAUAAAUCGACGUUCCAUUUAGCAGUCCAACAACGAAGAACCUUUGGAAAUAAAUUGGUGCUUUGAAUGUUCUGAAGUCCAAUUUCCGUUGAGUACAAUUGUCAAGAUGCGUCUCAAGACGGCCAUUUGACGAGAUUUCCGAGCUUCAAAUCCAUUUGAGCCUUUUAUUUUUUUGGGUGGGGGGGGGAUCAUUGCAGCAAACGUGACGAAAUGUACAAUUCGAAGAGCAUUUUGCGGAUGGAGGUCAAUUCACACAGCCGAGUACGGCCGCGUUCGUUCUUUGGACCGCAGACUCGUCCCGAGUCAACGGCGCCUCUGCUGGUAGCGGCCAAGAAGUGCACCCCAUUUUUUUUUUUUGCCACAAACUAUCAAGACGAUCAAGAAUCGUGGUUCGGUUCUCCAAAGUGGCCACUUCCACACUGGAUUUUGACUCCCUCCAAAACAUCAACAAGUUCCGACGACGGCGUUUCGAACGCAUGGAAGUGACGUGAUGGUCGCGUGUUGUCGGUACAAAGGUGGGAUGCGAGUUUUUGUCUUUUUUCCAAGGACGGGCUACCGUCGAGGCGACGCUCACGAAACGGCGACGGCUGCUUUCACUUGUGAGCAAACGGCUCCGUUUGCUACUCAACAAUCUGGAUUGCAGAUUUUUGAUUGGGCGAUCGCGGCUCACAACCAAAUCCAAAUGUGACGUUAAAUGACCCCUCCGUACAGGGCACUUAACCAGGCCUCCUGAAGUGACGUCACGCCACGUGCGCUGACGUAAGACAAACAGUAAAAAUGGCAAAUACAAUACAAUACAUUCUGAACUGAGAGAGACUCCAUGCUUCUGAUUUCAUUCAAUCAUUCACACGUAGCAAUGUUAUGCUAGCGGAGAACGUCUCAUUCAUUUAUACGAGACGUGUAUUAAAAAUCAAAUUUAGGGCAUAUCUUCAUGCAAACACAGUCUGAUUAAGCUUCGGCCGCGAGCCGGCAAGAAAUCGACACAUUUGUGGAGUCCGAUCAUCGCUAAAUAUCGCUCGACAAAGAAUAAGUGUGGCAAUCGUUCACACGCAGCACUGUUAUGCUAGCGAAGAACUUCGAAUUCAUUUAUACGAGAUGUGUAUUAAAAAUCAAAUAUAGGCCAUACCUUGGUGCAAACAUUAUCUGCUCCGGUUGAUAUUAGAUGGAUUUAGUUGAUGAUGCGGUCUUCCACAAAGUUUGAUCCAUCGGAGGCAUUUUUCGGACUGGGUCUUCGGUUUUGGAAAGGGUACGAAUCGAACUCCCACAGACUCGCCUUUCAGGAUACCCGUCGUCACGAUUACAAAGUCCGUGACGACACCUCUUAACCAUAUUUUUUGUUCAAUAACCCAUAUACGCGAUAAAACGCUAACUAAACCUAUACUGGACCGCGCAAUGUUGUCUGAGAAAAUGGCGGGAGCAAAAACGGGCUUCGGUCUAUGCGGAUCUCUGGCCUCUGAUUGGUCAGUGACGCGGAUUGCGCAAUAUCCACGCAGGGGUCAAUUGAGAGCAGGUCGUGCGUACUGUGUUUUGACAUUUUUAAUAUUGCAUGUACGUGUCUAAAGAGCUGUAUGACAAUUUCAAAUUCCCCUUACGUCAAUGCUAAUUUUCAUUAUUUUCACAUUGCAUUAAGCUAGCUAACGUUCAUUAGAGGAAAUUAGACGCUUUGGUUGAACAUUUUGGGGCUUGUUUCAUUUUCUCGUUUGUUGUGUCAACUUUACCGUUACCAUAACUUUUUUUUUUUUUUAAACAAUGCAAGAAAGAGAAUGACAACAUGCAUUAAGGAAUAUUUUAUGAACGAGUCUGGAAUGUACCAUCCUCUAUAAAGUGGGUUCGCUGUACAGCAACAGCAGAAACUCCAUAUUCUACAUGCGAGGUGCGGCUGUCGUUAAAUGAGAAACAUUGUUGACGGCAAAGUAUGCAACAUUUAAUAUUUUGCAUGAGUCAUCACUUAUUGUUUCGUUCCAUGUCGCCGCCGUACGGCAGAGGCGCGUGUGCACUUUUUUGCAGGUUGUUUCACGUGUUGAAGGGAAGGUAAACACAACCUUGGCAGGUAUGUAUUACUUGAAAUGUUAAAAUCAUUCAUAAAAUAUGAAUUUGGCACUUGGAGGUAAAGUGUAUAUCUAACUUUUCUCCAUUGUAUGUCUUUUUUUUUUUUCAUUAUUUUUAUUUUUUAAAGCACAUCCAAUGUCAGAAUGGUGAGUUGGGAGUAACAAUCAAAAGAGGCCCAUUUCUUUAAAAAAUAAUUAUCAUCCAAUAGCAUUUUUUGGGGUUUUGUUUGAAGUAGUCAGAUCCACACGGUCCCUGUUCACUAUCCAAAACUGAUCCAAAACAAAACCGUUUCACAAAGGCACACAAACUGACGUCGACAGAGGUAUGAUUUUGCCAAUAUAUUUUUUAUUAUUGUAGUUCUUGCGACACCGCAUGGGUGCCAAACAUCUCUGGCAUCGCUCUUGAGAGCUGUCGGUCAUAUUUUAGUUUUAAUUUAAUUGUCAAUCCAUCCCAUGCGUUUACAGUGUUCAAAACAAAAAAUUGUACAAUUCGCUUUGAGCCCGCGGGACUCAGCAGCAACCCGGCGCCGGUUCUUGAGAUAUAGACCAGGAGAAAAUUUAACAAGACUUGAAUAUUAAAUCACGACGACUACAGUUACGACCAUUACUUUAAAAUCAAAAUACAAAAAUUAAAAAAAGGCAAAAUCCUACAACUCGUGCGCUCCCGUUUCAGGCAGCGGUUCUGUAACACUUGGGUGUCCCUUCCAGAAACUGCCUAGAGACCUCUUCGUCUCCGUCAGGUGUGAUAAUGGCAGCCAUUAUUUUUCUUUUCUUUCUUUUUUUUUGUACAACGCUACACAUUAAAGACAAACAUUUGAUGUUUUGGGGCUGCCGCAAAAUGCGGAGUACUCGUGCAUGACUCCAGAGGUACGCCACAUGUACGAUUUUUACCGUACGUCCUCCGUUUGUCUUGCUCUCAUCCCGAACUCCUUGCUGAGCCACUUGCGGACUUACAAAAAGAUCAAGGGUUCAAAAAACGCAACAGUCAAGCAUGCUUUUGGCCAAUUUUCCCCCCAUAAAACACACAAAACGGAGCAAUGGCACUUUUUUGUCGAGGCACCUGGUGUGUUGGACUUCCUGGGCUUCGACUGUCCAGGGUUUACCCAACCAAAGGGUCGGGAACGUGUUUUUCAACCUCCCCGGUCGGCGUGGGGUUGAUUUGCAGAAUCGUUUACGUCUUGGUUUGCUUUGUGACACCUCAGCUCGGAAACAGACAAGCGCGUGAGCUGAUUGCCCCCCCCCCC